UUAUGGAAGAGGAAUUCUGGUUGGUUUAUCUUAGGCAGAAGGACCGUUCUUUUCCACAGGAUCUGCUGUCACUUUGAUUAGCAGUGCCAGCAAGAGUGCACAAAAAGAGAAAUGUAAACCCCUAGAGAAACCAAGAUGCUCCUACCAGACUCAAGAGAAAUGGAAAUUGAUUCCAAAGUAUUUUAUUGAAUACAUUACAGUUGUUAAAGGUCACAACUGCAGUAAGAAAUGCAAUGAGAAAGCAGGCCCACGGUUUCUACGCUGCAGUACAGAGAAAUCAUACAGGAGAGUUUACAGCUAUUUAUUUCCUUCUGACAAUUAUCUCCAUUGAUGUUAGUAUAUGAACACAGAUUGCUCUGCCUCUGAUCCUCUAAACAACUUGCUAAUCUUCAUAUUUCAUCACAAUGUGUUAUGGUUUGGAUCAAGAAUGUCCCCCUGAAGCCCUCAUGCAUUCAAAGAUAGGCCCAGCACUGUCCAUUCAACUAACAGCUAAAUGGGGCGUGACAACACCGACUGGUUUCAAAUUAAGAUGCAGCAGUUUAACAGUUUAUUUGAGCAUUUGGCUUUUUCAAAGCUAG
rnacentral:lncRNA from 1 species